UGGGAUGUCGCCAAGUGGUAAGGCGCCAGACUCUGACUCUGGUAUUCCGCGGGUUCGAAUCCUGCCAUCCCAG
rnacentral:tRNA from 1 species